rnacentral:lncRNA from 1 species
GAAGUUUUAGAUGGUAAGUUGCAGCAGCUUGAGUUUGCUGCGAAUCACGAGUUUUGGUAAAAAGUGCAACACCACGAGCAAAGGCAAAGGAACCAGUUCCUCCAACGAUCUUCAAUUCUUCUUUGUCUUCAUCAGUCUGCACGCUGAGGCUACCCUUAUGAUCUUUGCUGUCAAAGCUCAGAUACAUAACAUUCAAUGCCGAUUGCUGAAACAUGUCAGCAAGGAUCACAAAGCUCUGUGCUUUUCCAACCACACGAGAACUCUUCUCUGGCCCCUCUGUCAGCACACGCGGAAAGAUCAAAGCCCCAGCAUGUUCCCUAGGUACGAGGUGAGUGUUUAAGGUUGAUGUCUGAGGGUGUUGGACGUACAAGGAUAGAUCCAACCAUGGCCUUGCAUGGCUCUUGUUGUGGGACACAGGUGAUAGCACAGCCAAAACAAUUACUGCUAUUGUUGCUAUGGAAACUCCAACACAGAAUAUCAUUCUUCCUGACAUUAUCUGCUCCUUCUUGUGAUGAGCUCAAAUGGCUGCUACAUCUGUUUUCCUUUUAAACUGGUUGAAAAACAAAAAUAGUGUUCUUGGCAACCUAACCCAUUUUGCAUUUUGUUACCUAAACCAAUAUGAAAAAUUCUUCAUGCUUGUCCUGAAAUUGGUUAUAUAUACUAUACUAUCUAUUUUAAUUGUAAAAGUUCAAGGGAAGUAAGUGUUUUUGUUGUUAGCUUUUUUUAAGUUGGCGUUACAAAUAGGUUUGGUUUGGUACAUCUCACUCCCUAUUUACCAAAUCAGAGGAUUUAAAAAAACUUUACUAUUUUUCCUAUAGAACAAUCCAAAUAUUACCCAGAAAGAUAAUGCAAAAAAAAGCAGAGGAUUCUCAUUGUACUCAUAAUAAAGAAAUCUCAAAAUCAAACUGCUGUCAAUUUUUACAGAGUACUCCAAAAGAAUCGUGAACCCCAAAAAAAGCUUUUUAUAUAGAAACUCAGCAUUGUCGUGAUUGAGUAACCCUGUUACACCAUCUGAAAAAAAAACUUCCACCACUAAAAAGUUCUGUUGGCCCUUUGCAUUACAGCGGCAAAAAUGGUAAAAUUUUGAAAGCAAUUAGCUUCCAAAAGAGAGAAAUCUUGAUCAAGCAUUCCACUGUGAGGAUCCCUGUACCUGCAGAAACAAAAAAACCAGCAUUCUUCCAGCAGCGUGGGAACAUCAAAGUUGUAGAAUGUAAGAGAACUAACAAAAGUUAUUUUCUUAUGCAACUCAGACACAUCAUGUGUGCAAAAUAGACAAUUUUGUUCUUUAUGCUGGUUACUUCGUUCUACUACCACAAUUCCUCCUCACACACACACAAUAUAUAAUGACAUGAUAUUUACAUAACUUGUAAUGUAAAUUACUAUUAUUAGCACCAUAUAUUUUUUCUAUUAGGAGGGUCGAUAUCUUUGUUUUCAAGCUUUGCUUUUUUGGAAAGGGGAUCUAGAUUUACAAGACUAUGUUACUUAAAUCCACUCUCUCUCUCUUUUUUUUUUUUUUAAUGUUUUUUUACAGUGGAGUCCCAUUCUUUUACUUAUAUAUUCUUUAUUUGUAAAAAACCAUGUAAUAGUUUUGUAUUUUUUUUAAUUUUUUUAAUACAUUUGUCCGUUUUGGUAUAAAUUAAAAAAUAAAAUAUUCAUUUUUUAAUAAAUUUAGUUCUUACUUUUUUUUAUUGAUAUUAGUUUCUCAAUAUUUUUUUUCUGUUGUUUUAGUUAGGGGUGACAAAGUGGGUUGGGCCUGAUGAACCGACUUGCUAGCCUAUAAUUAUUUAGGUGGGGGCUUCUUCUUCCUGCACCCCUACAUUUUUCUUCCUACACCCCCACAAUUUUCUAAAUCCUGACACUGGCCUUAAUAUUUUAUUUGGAAAAGGACACCGUGGUUACCGGAAAUAGGGAUCUCGGAGUGUGCUACGGAUUCAUCAAUCCGGAACUGAUUUUUUUUUUCUGGAUGAGGGGUGUUCUGGAAGCAAUUUUUGCAUAAAUUAUUGAUUUCCAGAUUGCUGAAUCCGGAAGCCUAAUUCUGUUACGGAUUCGUGGAUCCAGAAUACUAUUUUUUGAAUUACAGAUUUCUGAAUCUGGAAUGCAUAUUUCUGUUACGGAUUGGUGGAUCCGGAAUGCUUUUUUUGAAUGAUGGAUUUUUGAAUGUGAAAUGCAUAUUUUGAAUUACGGAUUGGUUGAUCCGAAAUUUUACCAGAAGUGUCUAUCCGAAAUUUUUCCAGAUUCCAUAAGUAAUUGAAGUAUUGUUGAUAUUUUACUUUAUUUUGUAAAAUAUUAAAUAUUUUUUUAUUAAAAUAUUAAAGUUUGAUUCAUUUUAAUUGAUUUUCCUUACAUUUUUAUUGUCUAGAAAGUAAUAUCAAUGACUACAAUCAAGUCAAUAGAUCCAAAAGAAAAAAAAACAUUAAAAAAAAAAAAUUGAUUUUUUUUAAAAGUGACCGACCAACUCGUCAACCCAGCUUACGAAAAACAUAUUACUAAUUUUAACUUGUAUAACCUUAAAUAGUCAGCUCAAUCCAACGACCCGUUUUGGUGGACUAGUGACACGUCGCACCAAAACAGUUAGACUUUGUAGUUUUUUACUCUCUCUCAUUAACUUAUAUCAUUUUAAAAAACUAGUUAAUUAUUGAUUUUUUAACAUAAUUUAUAUUAUUAUUAACUUACACUCAUAUAUUCAUGAUUUUUUUUCUUCUUAAAUACAACUUAAUUCAAAUUGUUAGGAUGUUUGAAAGUCUAAUUAAUUCCACUAUGUAUCUUUUUCUUUCAAGACGAUUUAUUGUAAAAAGCUAUAGAUUACAUUUGGAAAAUGAAGAAAAGAUAAAUAAUGCUUAUUUAGUUUUGAAACUAUUAAAAAAAAAAGAGUUUGUAUAACAGCAUAGUAAUAAUCCACGUAGCUGAAUGUUAGCCAUAUAAACUAAGAUCCGAAGGAGAAUUUUGUGAAGGAAUGAACUGUGAAAGUUGAUCUGAAGUAACAGUAGAAAGGAAAUUCCAUUGAAGAAUCUGCUAAACUAAUCUAAAACCAUAUAUCUUUCUUCCUCAUUUAGUGUUGUGUGGUGAGGGUAACAUGCUGAAAGUCAGAAGUAGAUGUUUGCAGAAGGUUCAUUCAUUGCAUGUUGUUUUAAAAAUGGAACCAUAUUCUACCUGCCAUUCAUUACACACACUGCAAUCUGCAAUCAGAAUGGAAACUAAUCCCAUGGCCCAAAUUGCUGAUGCGAUUCAGUUACAUUACAUUAUGAUUUGCCAUGACAGUGGUGGGAUUUUGCAAGUGGGGUGACCCACUUCUUCUAACUCUUCAUCAUUAUGCUUCUUUUGUUCUUCUGUCAGUGUGUUGUAGAUUUCACAUCGAUAAAAAUAUUUUAUAGUAUAUAACUAGGUGUAAAACUCAACUUAUAACCUUAUGAACUGAUUUUGUAAGGUGGAGUUAUACUUAAAUGUCACUUCUUAUGAAUUAUUUUUUAUCAGCAAAAAACAAUCAAACUAAAUAGGUUCAUUUAAGGGGUUGUUCAACCCUCAAAAGAGACAAAGAACACCUUUCCACAUACAUAACAAAAACCAAAAUGAAACCUCCUACUGCCUAUCCCAACACUACAAACUAAAAAAAAACAGAAAGGUCAAAGACCAACCCCAUCACCUUUAUAGUAACAUUAAAUCUAAUGCAUACAUAUUAAAGAUUAGGCACUAGUCAAAGAACGAGAAACUCACUGAAAAUAUCUUUGAAGAGAUCCAACACCAAACCUUAACCUGUGCUAGAAAAAAAACUUUAGUAUGAUCAACUACUCAUUUUUUAAACAAACAAAUAUUCCUAUGAGUCCAAAUAUUCUUUAACCAACUCGAUCCAAAUUAGUUCAAAAAGUUUCAUAUUGAGAGCAAGAUGGAAUUGAUUCCCUUAUCUUUGUUGUCCAAUACUAUAAGAGUGUGGCUAGCUAGCUUUGUUUGUGAAUUAAUUGAUCCCACAUGUAUAAAUACUAUACUUAUUCAGUUCCCACUCUCCAUCUUCUCAUUUUCUCUGUCCUUCCCUACACUCUACAAGUGCAUAUGCAUAUGUUCUGUUAUCUGCUACUUUGAUACUUGCUAUCAUUGAAAUCUGACAUGCAUGCCAUGCCCUCUAACAAAGGGUCUUCGUGGUCUAAACGCUAACCCUUUUGAAUUCUUUUCAAAAGAUACCAUUAUAGCAACCAUAAUCUGGAACAAGAUAACUGUGAAUAUGAUUAGGAUUCAUUUUGCUGCUUCUUUCAAAGUAUUCCAAAUUUAUUAGUACCGGUCAAUGAAGAUGGAAAGUAAGAAUCCAUGAGCCACUUAGCAAUGAGCACAAAGGCAUGAAGAAUGGUUCUAAACCCAAAAGGGGAAAGUGAAAAAGGUUGGAAUGGCAGAGAGCAGGUGUCUAUGUUCUAUGGUAGUGUAGGAUGUGUGAUGUGAACCUAUUGAGGCCUAUUGAGGCCAAAUGAGGAAAGAAGGUAUGGGGUGUUGACAGGUGUUCAACAUAACCUACCUUUGCUUCUUCCUUUAAUCACCACUCAAUUCCUUUCUACUUCUUUCCACAAACAUAUAUUUGGUUCUCCAUCCCCUUCCAUGGCCCAUAUAACAUUAUUUCUCUCAUCUCUAUCAAGUUGUAAUAUAAAACAAUUUAAUAUUUGUUUGUGAAUAUAUCACAAUCCAUAUAUGUUACUUUCAGAUCAAAAUUCUCCAAAAGUAAAAGAUGAUUUUUCCUUCUACUUUUUAGGAGUGUCAACAUAUAAAGACUCAGAAAAAUGUUACUUUGACAACUAUAUAGUCAAAAUCACCGGUUUACAACUUUUUAUGCAUUCACAUUUCAAUAAAAGAUUAUUUCACGUUCUAUUUUUAGGAGUUGUAAUAUGAAGCAAUUCAGUAUGUUAAAGAUCCUACAUCGAUUGUAGAUAAAGACAUUUCUGUGUGAGUACAAACCUUAUAAGCUAGAAUUAGAAUCAUUUAAAGUCUAUUUUAACGAGAGUUUGUUGGCCUUAUCAGAUCACUCGAUAUUGAACCAUCCAUAAAUAUACUCCCACCUACGAGUUUUUAGAUCUCGAACGUGAGAGAAUUCUAUACCGAUUAAAGAUAAAGACAUUUACUGUUUUGUUAUCAACAUAUACUGACUCUAUUCAAAAUUCACUUUUGAAAAGUACUAAUUUUUAACUUUAGAAACACAAAUAGGAAAAUAAAUUAUAUAAAAAUAAUAAGUCUUUAUAGAAAAGAGAAAGAAAUAGAAGAAAAACAAAAAGGUAUUUAGAUAAAAAAAAUGUGUGUCGUUGAGAGAUGUUCUCUAGUUUCCAUGCUUUGGGGGCAAGAUGUUGUCAUUUUUUACUCAUUGUCAUGCACUUGCGUCUUUUUCAUAGAUCACAACCGCACAACUAUAACUUCAAAUUAUAUCCUAAAAUCAUUCAUGAAACUCAAAACUAUACAUAUUUUUAUUGCAAAAAUUUAAAUUAGUAUAUAUGUGGUGGAGUGUUGGGAAUAUUUCAAAAGUUUAACUUUUUUAAAAGAAUAAUAUCUUAAAAUUGUUGAGAAAAUGACAUUUUUUAAAGUUUAGAAGCCAAAGUUGACUUUAAAUUUAUAAUGAAAUUUAGUAAAAUCCUUACUGUCCAUUCUCAUAGCUAUAUCUCACUUUUUAUUAUAUUUUUUAAUCAGAAAAAAGAAAUAUUUUAGAAAUCCAAAUUAUAUACAUAUAUAAUUAAGACUAAUACUAAUUUUAAUUUUUUUAUUAAUUUAAAAUACUUGUAAAAGAAAGACGGAGCUGAUGUAUAAUUAAAACUCAAAAUAAGAGUUUUGAAAGUAAAAUAGAAUGUAUAUGUAUAACUAAAAAUAUUACCAUCACUAAAAAAAAUUAUUAAAUAAAAAUUAAUUUUAGAGACAAAAAAAACAGUUAUUGUAUAAUUAAAUUAGAUAUUAUUUUAGAUACUAAAAAAAUUAUUAAUUUUUAAAUUAGUUUCUCUUAUUAUAAAUAGUUUCUAAAAUUAUUUUUUAUUUAAUAAUUUUUUUUAAUGUAAAAUUAUAUAUAUAUAUAUAUAUUUAAAGAAAAGUACAACGUUAAUCAUUUAAAAAAAAUAGUUUAUAUAGUAAAUUGUGAUGUGCCUAAAAGUACUACAGCAAUAAGUUUGGUGGGCAAGUAAGUUUUGCAGAAAAAGAUAUGAAAUCCCUUUCUUCAUUUGUUAUUGUGCCUUCUUCCUCAUCAAUCAAUUAAAGGAAUGACUUUGAUUUAGACCUUUAUAAAUUAGUUCAGAACAGUCAUAAAAACUUUACCUUAACACAAAUCCAAACCAAAAUUAUGUUUUAUUCUUAGGAAUAUCAUGAUUUUGAUGUUUUAUUUUUUAAGGAAGCUAUAUCAGUUCUUAACUAAAUGAAGAGAUAAACAGAAGAGAUAGAAAAACAGUGUCGUCAGUUUCCACUGCUACACUGUCUCUUGAUGGUGACUUCCCAACCAUGCAUGCGUGUACAUACUCAUGUGACCAUGGAUUAUCUAAAAAUAAAUAUAAUAAUAAUAAUGAUAAUGAUAAUACUAUUUAAUAAUUUUCUUGUAUUCUCACAUCAUUGCAAACACAUAUCCAAACACAAAUAAUCUUACAAAACCGUCCUGGAAAACAAUAUAUAUCCACCAUUGAAACAAACAAACGGUAAAUAUGAUAAACUAAUCCUCACACAUUAUAAUUGGUAGCCUUGAACUUCUAAAUUCAAGAAAUAGAAAAAAUACUUAACAUGAAUUGAUCUUAGUGUAUAUUGGUAAAUUACAAGGUGUAUUAAAAAUUUAUGAACCACUUGACUAACCUUGGACCCAUGAAACUAAAGGUCCCUACUCCAAUUGAGCUAGUAUUUGAGUGAUGGACCCCACAUAUCACUCACACUCCCAGUAAGUGAUGGAAGAAGAUAGAUGAGAAUCACAACAACUAUGUGUAGUAGCAUCACAUGACUAUUAACAUUUGGAAAUAAUAUGAUGAUCUCACACACGAUUUACUCAAAUCCCAUUGCACAUGGGUUCAAGCAAAGCAAUACCAUAUCACUGAGUGAUUGUUGCAUAAAUCUUUCAAGGAGAGGGAUCUUGUAGUGCAUGUUAGCUGCAUUACAUGUUAUCAAUUAAUUCACACCGUUAGUGUCUCAAAUAUCACACACUAGUGAUAAAUCCCAUUGUUUUGACAAGUUAUUUGAAAUUGAAUAUCCCCUAUUGUCUUCCUUCGAUUCUAGUUGUUUUUUCUGGGUGUCUGAGAAGGGUACUUAUAAAAGUACUCUGAUGCUCAACUUAGUUGGGUGUUACUUAAAUCGUCUAGUUCAAAAUUCAGAAUCACAAUACCUUUCAUCAUGAUGAUCCUUUCUUUCUUAUACUACUCUAUUAGGUCUUGUUAUAUUAGAAUGACUUAAACUUGACCCAAUGGAUGUUAACAUUGCUUUAUAGUCUCUAAUUGGGAUUAACAUCCUUAACUCACGAUAUGACGUGGAUUCUGGUCAUUGCCAAAGGGUCGCCCAAGUGGCUGAUCAUUUGGACUUACGGUUUUGUGGUAUAAUACCCAUGUUUAUAAAUUAAGUAGUGAGUCUAAAAUCUGCGUGUGUGACACUUUGAGAAAGCGGAUUAUAUUAGCAUGCAUGGUUUUAUAGGAAGUACAUGAAUGGUUGUUAGGAUGUUAUAAUGUCCUUUUGAGGAUGUCUUAAUUAUCUCGUGAGAAGCAGUUAGAAAAUUGAGAGUACAUAGAAAGUGUCAUUGCUUUGAUACUACUAUCUAGCUAAUCUAGUGGAAUAUUUUGAGGCUCUUUUACCCAUUCUUUUAGAAUUUUUCCUAUAAAUAGCUGCUCCUUGCUCCAUAGAAAUCUAACAUCCCAAAGUUCCAAACAUGAUUCUCUUCUUCUCUUUUUUUUUUCUCUCUCUCUCUCUCACUUACAUAUGUGAUUUUAUUACUCUCUUUUUUCUUUUAGGAGGAGGUUUAUGGGGGUGGAAAAGGUGAGAGGGAGGCACUGGUUUUGGUAAGGUUGUUGACAGAAGAUAGAGAGCACAGAUGAUGAUAUGCAUAUUACUAUAUAUAGAGAGCAUGAACUGAUCAAUGGUGCAUCUUACUCCUUUGUGCUCUCUAUACUUCUGUCAUCACCUUCACUCUCCAUUUCUCAUUUCCUCUCUCUCUAUAUAUAUAUACCUCCUUUAUCACAAGAACUAGAGUUUCACUGAGGAAAAACUCAUGUAUAAUUUGAUGUUGUUAGAGAUACCACAUCGACUUGAUAUAUUAGAAAAUUUCAUAAUAUAUAAGUGGGUGUAAUAUAUAUGAGAUUGAAUUAGACUUAAAGUCCACAUUAAUAGAUGUUGAUCCUAGAAUUUACCUAACCACUUUUCUCUACUAAUUACAACUGUUACAAUUAUACAAUACAAGGUUUUAAAAAAAAAGUCUAUGGCUAUGAUUAAUGAAGCGUCUGACUGCAACCUUGUUAUAUUUCAAAUUUAGUCAAUAUAUCAACUAAUUAUUUUUUGUUUUUAAAUUUAAUUUUUAUUUAAUGAUUUUCUUAGAACGAGAGAUAUGAAGAUAAUUUCAAUUUGUACAAGGAUAUUAAAUAUUAUUUAAAUUUCAUAAAUAUUUUAAAAAUUCUUAAAACAAAAUUAGAAGAAUUCUACUGAAAAUUUGUAAUGAUCAUUAUUAAGAAGUGAAGUUAAGGAUGUUCUAAUCUUUUGUAGGAUCUCCAACAAUCAUGGUCGUAAUAAGUUGGGGGAAUGGUUUGGGAAUUGAAGCUGAAGUUUUAGAUGGUAAGUUGCAGCAACUUGAGUUUGAGUUUUGGUAAAAAGUGCAACACCACGAGCAAAGGCAAAAGAACCAGUACCUCCAACGAUCUUCAAUUCUUCUUUGUCUUCUUCAGUCUGCAUGCUGAGGCUACCCUUAUGAUCUGGGCUGUCAAAGCUCAGAUACAUAACAUUCAAUGCCGAUUGCUGAAACAUGUCAGCCAGGAUCACAAAGCUCUGUGCUCUUCCAACCACACGAGAACUCUUCUCUGGCCCUUCUGUCAGCACACGCGGA